UACAAGUGGCAAAAGUAACUUGCAUUAUUACUCAUUGCCAGAGUGUCUCGCAGAGACAAUUGAAAUUGUGCUCUUGCAAGAACUCUGGAGUUUCCAGGGUAAUCAGUGACCCGAGAAA